UGGUGUCAAAUUAAGGAAUGAAUAGUUUAUCCCCAGGUGUAGUUCUAGUCAUCACUUUGCAGGAGUGUAUCUUCUCAAAUUACUGGGGUCAAAUUGUGGUCCUCCAUUCUCUUGUUGGACUACAACCCCCCCGGAUUCUCUUGAAGUAUACAGUUAGCCAACAAUUAUAGGAAUUCUAUUCCAUCGUUACUCAACAAUCUUACUCUAAAUUCUACAUUUGUAUGUGUGCAUCUUAUCUGAUUGGCUUGUUCCUGUCAAAGUAUGCCAAACAAUAUACCUAAUCUUAUGUCCUGAGUGCUGCAGAGAUUUUCCUACAAAUUUUUAUCUACACAAGAACCACGUUUUAACCUUGAUCGAUUACAG